rnacentral:rRNA from 1 species
GAUGAACGCUGGCGGCGUGCCUAAUACAUGCAAGUCGAGCGAACAGACGAGGAGCUUGCUCCUCUGACGUUAGCGGCGGACGGGUGAGUAACACGUGGAUAACCUACCUAUAAGACUGGGAUAAAUUCGGGAAAACGGAGCUAAUACAGGAUAAUAUAUUGAACCGCAUGGUUCAAUAGUGAAAGACGGUUUUGCUGUCAAUUAUAGAUGGAUCCGCGCCGCAUUAGCUAGUUGGUAAGGUAACGGCUUACCAAGGCAACGAUGCGUAGCCGACCUGAGAGGGUGAUCGGCCACACUGGAACUGAGACACGGUCCAGACUCCUACGGUAGGCAGCAGUAGGGAAUCUUCCGCAAUGGGCGAAAGCCUGACGGAGCAACGCCGCGUGAGUGAUGAAGGUCUUCGGAUCGUAAAACUCUGUUAUUAGGGAAGAACAAAUGUGUAAGUAACUAUGCACGUCUUGACGGUACCUAAUCAGAAAGCCACGGCUAACUACGUG